CAAGAUGGAAGAUGAAAACAUCGAAUUUUAUAAAUUCGUAGGCCAUUUCGAUUAUGGCAUCUUGG
rnacentral:tRNA from 1 species